UAUGAUUUCGACCUCAUGAGGUCGAUUGUUUUUUGUACAAAUAAUAAAUGAAAAAAAAUCAUUUUGCACAAAAGUAAAUUAUAUAAAUAUAAAAUAAUUAAUUAAAAAAUUUAAAAAAAAAAACAAAUUUCGACCGCAUGAGGUCGAAAAUUUUAAUUCAAAUCUGGUCAAAUCUGGCUUAAUUGUUUUGACCACAUGCGGUCGAAAAAUUUCAAUAAAUAAUACACCCACACAGGCGGAUGAAAAUAUUUCAUCUCCCCCCAAAACUUUCUCUUCUCUUUCAAAAACAUUUACCCUCUCUAAACUCAUCUUCCCCAAAUUUCCCACCACCCCACCAACACCGGUGUUGUCCAAGUAGGCGACGCCGUCUAGUUAAACCACUGGAGUAGCCACAAGCCGCCGCCGACUGAACAGCGAGCUGGAUGGUGUGUGAUAAUUGGGGUAACGUAGACGACCUUCCCAUGGUAGACGAUGUAGGUCACAGGCCAACGUAGAUCAUGGUUUUGUGGAUGAGGAUAGUGAGGAGGAUUCGGAUCAUAUCUCUAACACCCAGCGUUGACUUUUUGAUUCGUAUACUUUUGGAUUCUAAUUUUGCUAUGUUUUCUUGGAUAUGUAUAUGAUAUUUAAGUGUUUGAAUGUAGUAUUAAUUCGAAUUAGAAGUACUUUGAAGGUGAAUUUGAUUGUAGAAUGUAGUUUAUGGUUGUUUAAAUUUAUGAUGUUUAAGUGUAUCAAUGUAGUUGUAAUUUGAAUUAGAAGUACUUUAAAUUGGAAUUUGAGGUUGAAUUUGAUUGUAGAAGUAUUUUGAUGAAUUGGAUGUGUUGAUGAAUUGCA